CCCACACAGCAGAGGACUCCGAUGCGGAGCCGCGUUCAAGUCACCACAUCCGUGUCACUGUCACAUUCCUUUGGGUUCCACUUGGUGGAUCAGGGUCGCCACCGUGCGCCGCCCCAAAUUCUACUGUCAAAACGCGGACCAUAAUCGCAUCCAUAUCUGAUUCACAAACGCGGACGCGCUGUAAAAUCUAACGGACGUUGGUACAGUUUUUGUUGGGGCAGACACGACCGAACAGCGCUCUCCAUAAACAGGUGGAAAUACCUCUGGGUCGGACAGGGCUAGCCGGCUGUAAUCCACCCUGCUACAGUGAUGCCCGCCUGCCUCCCGGCUUUUACGACCAAGAAUCGGAGCGCUGAUGUGAUGUUUCCCCGUCGACUGAUGAGGGAAGGAAGAGAAGGCAGCCACGACACGCGAUUGUUCAACAUGACAGUGAGACAGAAAAAUAAUGUCAAGAUAAAUAAAAAAUCAUGAUGAGUGAA